CACCUUACCAUGUGUGUCCGUCCCGAGAAGCAUAGUUAAUCUCUUUUUCUCACAGAAACAAAGGAAACCCUAACGAAGAAACCUUCAAUUCAAUCUUUUGAGGGUUAUUACAAUUCUCCCUUGCGUCCUUUUGUACUGAAAUUUGUUUCUGUUAAAUCGGUUGGUAAAGCUUUCUAAGUUGUUGCCCGGUUUCAUCGCCGUUGCUGCAUCCCCGGUUUCCAGAAGUUGCUGACUUUCUCUACACGUAAUUAGUUGUUCUUUUGUUAUAGUUGCAUGACUAAUUAGUGUUUUUGUUUAGCGGCUGCCCGAAUACUAAUAUGCAUGAUAAAAUAUUGAUUUAAUUCUUGUUUUGCCCACUUUUGAACUUAAUUUUUGUUUAAUUUUGAACAUGUUUGAAAUGGUCUUAAUGAACGUAAUUGUUUAUAUAAGUUGUUGCCCGAUUUCAUCGCCGAUGCUGCAUCCCCGGUUUCCAGAAGUUGCUGACUUUCUCUACAGGUAAUUAGUUGUUCUUUUGCUAUAGUUGCGUGACUAGUUAGUGUUUUUGUUUAGCUUACUUAGUAGUAAAAUCAUGGAUAAAAAUGGAUGCCUUCCAAUCGAUUGUCAAAAGAGUACGAAAAUGGAUGUUCUACAAUAUUCCAAUCUCAACUUUCAUUCACUAACAAGUUCCCUCAAGUAGUAAAACCUCAUCUCAAUGUGCUUUCUCCUCCCAUGUGCAAUUGAGUUCUUAUCAAGAUUAAUAGCGGGAACGUUAUCAACCAAGAGCGUAACCGCCUCACCCUCACUGAUGUCUAGCUUCUUCAAUAGAUUCAUUAGCCACAUGGUUUGGCACACACAUAACGAAGCGAGAAUAUACUCUGCCUCAUAAGACGAGAAUGCUAACAUCGGUUCCUUCUUCGAACACCAUGAGAUUGGUGUUCCACCGAACACAAAGAUGCAUUCAGUUGUAGACUUACAAUCAUUUUUAUCUCCGCACUAAUUGUAAUCCGUGAAAUCGCCAAAUUCGGUCGC